AUACGUAGGGGACAAGCGUUAUCCGGAUUUACUGGGUGUAAAGGGAGCGUAGGCGGCCAGCCAAGUCAGAAGUGAAAUCCCACGGCUCAACUGUGGGCGUGCUUUUGAAACUGGAGGGCUUGAGUACUGGAGGGGCAAGCGGAAUUCCUGGUGUAGCGGUGAAAUGCAUAGAUAUCAGGAAGAACACCGGAGGCGAAGGCGGCUUGCUGGACAGGGACUGACGCUGAGGCUCGAAGGCGUGGGGAGCAAACAGGAUUAGAUACCCUGGUAGUCCACGCGGUAAACGAUGAAUGCUAGGUAUUGGGCUCCAUAGGGGUUCGGUGCCGCAGUUAACGCAAUAAGCAUUCCACCUAGGGAGUACGUUCGCAAGAAUGAAACUCAAAGGAAUUGACGGGG
rnacentral:rRNA from 1 species